rnacentral:rRNA from 1 species
UACAGAGGUCCCAAGCGUUGUUCGGAUUCACUGGGCGUAAAGGGUGCGUAGGUGGUUGGGCAAGUCUGAUGUGAAAUCUCCGGGCUUAACCCGGAAAUGGCAUUGGAAACUGCCUGGCUAGAGUGUUGGAGGGGGGACUGGAAUUCUCGGUGUAGCAGUGAAAUGCGUAGAUAUCGAGAGGAACACCAGUGGCGAAGGCGAGUCCCUGGACAACGGCUGACACUGAGGCACGAAAGCUAGGGGAGCAAACAGG